rnacentral:rRNA from 1 species
AAGCGAGGGAUAGCCCUGGGAAACUGGGAUUAAUACCUCAUGUGAUUAUGAUGCCGCAUGGUGUUAUAAUUAAAGUUCAGGCGCUUGGAGAUGGGCGUGCGUCCUAUUAGCUAGUUGGUGAGGUAACGGCUCACCAAGGCGACGAUAGGUAGGGGGCGUGAGAGCGUGGCCCCCCCACACGGGUACUGAGACACGGACCCGACUCCUACGGGAGGCAGCAGUAAGGAAUAUUGGACAAUGGGCGCAAGCCUGAUCCAGCCAUCCCGCGUGCAGGAUGACAGCCCUACGGGUUGUAAACUGCUUUUGUUAGGGAAGAAACCCCUCGAUUUAUCGGGGGCUGACGGUACCUUUCGAAUAAGCACCGGCUAACUCCGUG